rnacentral:lncRNA from 1 species
GUUAUCAAUGAAUUUCGAAAUGAUUCAUCCCUCGGAGAACUCGCCAAUUUGUAUUGAACUCGUAAGUUCAAACAGAUGGUGGAAAGUUCUCGGGGCGUGGGCACUAUCGUACUCUAUUUUGGGAGGUCCCGUUUCUCUGGUUUCCGUAUCUCGACCUCCUCCUUCGACCUUGAUGACGUCACUAAGAGACGUCUGUCCAACCCAACGACAAUUUAUGCAUAAGUAACAAAAAGGCUAAUGUGAAGGAAAAAUAAAUACGGUUAUUUUCCUUCACAUUAAACUUCUUCCUUUCAUUUUAGAGGGUG